ACCACCAUCGCCACCUCCGCCCUCUCCGCCACCUCCAUCCCCACCGCCGCCAUCUCCUCCACCCCCAUCCCCAUCUCCGCCGCCUCCAUCCCCACCGCCGCCGUCUCCAUCCCCACCGCCGCCGUCUCCUCNNNNNNNNNNNAUCCCCAUCUCCGCCGCCGCCGAUGCCACCACCUCCAUCGCCGCCGCCUCCUGCUCAACCGGCGCCCAUCUACAGCGUCCGUCCCCCACCGCCGCCUCCACCAAAAUCCCCUCCCCUCCGGUGUACUCUCCACCUCCGCCGACGCCUGCCCCGCGCUUCUCGCUUCCUCCACCACAUUACUCGCCGCCUCCGCCACCUAACUCACCAUCGCCACCACCAAACUCCCCACCGCCGCCGCCUCCAUGCAACGAGCUGCCUCCGCCGCCACCAUCGCCACCACCAUGCAUAGAACCACCACCACUGCCAUCACCGCCACCACCUUCUCCCACACCCUCGCCAGUAUAUUACCAUCCUUCGCCGCCGAUGACGCCUUCGCCAUCACCACUACCCCCAAUUCAUUAUGAAGCGCCCCCUCCACCUUCCCCCUCUCCUCCGCCACCUCCAAAGCCUUACGAGUUCCUGCCGCCACCACCCUCCCUGUAUGAGGGCCCAUUGCCGCCAGUUGUUGGAAUCUCAUAUGCAUCGCCCCCGCCUCCUCCUUUCUACUAUUGAUUCUUUUGAAAAUUUUAUUUCUCGCCCUCCUCCUGCCACUGGUUUUUUCUCAUCUUCUUUUCCAUUGCCGAUCGCCAACGGAGAAAGAAGACAAGAAGGCAGAGUUCUUUAUCUGGCUUUGUACUCAAAGCAGCUUCUGUCGAGGUGAUGAAGAGAUGGUGAAGACAUGGAGAGAGAAAUGGCAACGAUGGGGAAAAAUUCUCUCUCCAUACGUAUUUGGAUUGCGGAUAUUUGAGUUGUGAAUAAAUGGCUUUGAGAGACGGAAUCAGAGAGUGAGAGAGGUGCAGGGAAAUGAAUGUAUAGUGCAUGAGAUUGAUGUAGAUCUAUUGCGGUAUCAUCGCCUCCUAUUAUACUUUGUUCUUUUUAUUUUGAUUUCAUGAUACGAUUAUUCAUGGCUUCUUAGAACCGGGUAUGUUAAUUAAUUGCUCUCCAUCCGAUCGCUUGUAAGUAUUCGGUUUGGCUUUCUUUUAUGUUACAAUUGCUG
rnacentral:lncRNA from 1 species